UUGGAUUCUGUGUCUCCCUCUCUCUCUGCACCACCCCUGCUAAUGUUCUGUCUCUCUCUCUCUCAAAAAUAAAUAAACAUUAAAAAAAUUAAAAUAAAAAAGGAUAUUUAAAAAAUUAAUAAAUCCCAAAGGACAGCAAUGUAAGGAAGAAUUUGGGUGGAAGAAGGGAGAAACGUGUUAUCUCCACCAUCAUUAAUAGAAUUAUUAUAGCCAGGACCAUCUGGGACACUGAGAGCUUGUGUAACAGUAUUUAAUAUAAUAUAAAUAAUAUAGAUAUUGUAUCAUAUAUACUUAAGUAUACUUUAUAUUUUAUGUAUAAAUAUAUACUUUUAAUUUAUAAAUAUAUAAAUUUAUAUUUUAUAAUUGUGUUUAUAUUAAUUAUUAAUAUUAUAUUAAUUAUAUAUGUCCUAUAUAUAUUUCCCAGAAUUAAAAGCUAGAGGUAUCCAGAUUGAAAAGAUCAAGCAUGUUUCCUGAACAAUGAAUAAAAAGAGAUGGAGAACAAGACAUAUUUUCAUAAAAUUUUAACGUAUCAGGGAAAGACAAGGUCAAAAGAACCUCAGGGAAGAUGGGAAAGCAUAUCAUGAAUAAAAGAAUGAGAAUUAGGAUCCCAUUGUGCUCUUGAUAGGCUAAGGCUGCCAGAUUUGGCAAAUAAAAAUAAAGGACAUCUAGUUAAAUUUGAAUUUAAGACGGAUGAGUAUUUAGUGUAAGUAUAUCUUACAUAUUGCAAAGGAUAUACUAAAAAAUUUGUUGUUAAUCUGAUUCAGAUUUAACUUGAUGAAUUUAAUUCUUCCAGCAAUCCUACAGUGGCAACAAUGGAUGUAACUCUGGUAAGAACAUCCAAGUAAGCCUUAUUUACCUUUUCCUUACUGUAAGAAAUCAAAGCAACAAGGAGGGAAAAAACCAACACCUGCACAACACCCUGUCCUGCUAUUUUUUUUUAAGCUUGUUUAUUUAUUUUGAGAGAAAGAGAGAAAGAGAGCAUAUGAGCAUGUGCACGCAGGGGAUGGGCAGAGAAGGAGGGAGAGGGAAUCCUAAGCAGGCUCUGCGCUGUCAGUGCGGAGCCCAAUGCAGGGCUCGAACUCCCAAGCUGCCAGAUCGUGACCCUAGCUGAAACCAAGUUGCUUAACCAACUGAGCCACCCAGGUGCCCUGUCUUGCUAUUUUUAGCAAAACAGGCAAUGGAGGAUACCUGCAGAAACCAAGGACUUAAAAGUUGCUAUUAAAGGUUAAAUUGUGCAGAAAAUGCAAGGACAAUGUCAAGGCCCCUUAUGAGUAGCAGGCCUCAGAAAGUAGCAGCAAAGCAUACUUCCUGAAAGGAGAAACUCAUCCAGAAAUGCAAACACUAUAGCCUAUAAAUCUAAUAACUGAGGGGUAACGUAAGCUGAGCUUCAGCAGAAGUCACAAGUUGGGAUGCAGAGAAAAUGCACAGAGUAUCUCUCUGAGAGGGCUCCUAACAGCACAUCUCAGAAAGAUCCAGCAGAAUCUUACUCCAUGAAGGUCAAGGGCUCAUCGGUAAGUGCAAGGGCUCUGUCCUGUUUGCUGCUGCUGGUGAAGGGCCUGGGAAUGCAGGGCUGGGAACAGAAAUCCUUUCAGACUCAUCUUGGGUCAGAGGACCAAAGGGAGGAGGGCUACACAAAAUCUUGUCAGAGGAGCCAUGCUGGCUGGAAUCUGUGGUCUCUGUGACUGCAAAGAGAGGGCUUCUGAACGGUCUGACGCCUGGCAGGGAACCCUGGCCCCUCCACCAUCCAUGAACUCACCUGCAAAUAGCCGGACCAGGAAAAAACCAUGUCAUUAUAAAUUAAUGUUGAAGAAAGGCUAUGGCAGGACAUCAGCACAACGAUUGUGUAAGAGAAAAUGUGAAAAGAGCUAUAAAAAUUACAAAUGCAUCAAAGACAUUUACAGGAAAAUGAUGUCAUAGAACAGAUGAAGACACUGACCACACGUUCCAUUACAAGUGUUCCAUCUACUAGGUAAAAAUCUUAAGGAAACUAUCAUCUCCAUGUAGGAAGACAACAGAAAAUCAGCCCAGAAAAAGAUUUUUUCCCUGGAUUUUAUACAUUAAUAAGAAAUAAGCAAAUACUUUUUAUGUUUUCAAUGGGAUUUAUUUGUAUUUAAGUAAAAGUAGCAAACGUUAACAUAAGUUAUUUCCUUUAUCAUAUUUAUUUUGUACGACCACAUUUUUAUCAAGCAGCAUUAUGGAAUGUUCCCUGGGUCCACAACUCUGAACUUUCCAACUAUUAUAUGCAUCCUCUUUUCCGACUUUAAACAUGACCUUGUACACUGAAGAAGCAUGGCUUGUCAUUGCAAAGUUGUCAUGUGUGACAACCUGACAUCAAAGUAGAAGCCUCUUGAUGAAGAAUGUUUUAUCUUUCAUUCAUUUAAAAAAUGGUAUUUUUCUUUUUGUGUGAUUAUCCAUCCCAUAUGAUUUUGUUUUCAAUUCUUUUUUCUACUGAUACUAUGGAAUCAAACCAGUUAAAACUAAGGAGUGUAGCAAUAAAACCAACCAAAUACAUAUGAUGUAAUAUCUUAUAUAGGAUAUUUUAGAUGAUGUUUAUGUUUUAUAUUACACACCUGUAUUUAAUAUACUUUGGGCAAUAAAAAGUUAGAAGCAUGUAAACAAACAGAAAAAUUUUUCUGAAAUCAAUACAUUGUUUCAACAGUCACAAAAACUUGGGUUUCUUUCUUUCCUAGGAGUGCAGUGGAAUAGUUUCAUAUUAAAAUAAAAAGGUCUUGUUGCUUUCA